rnacentral:rRNA from 1 species
CCUACGGGAGGCAGCAGUAAGGAAUAUUGGUCAAUGGACGCAAGUCUGAACCAGCCAUGCCGCGUGAAGGAUUAAGGCCCUCUGGGUUGUAAACUUCUUUUAUAGGGGACGAAAAAAGGGCAUUCUUGCUCACUUGACGGUACCCUAGGAAUAAGCACCGGCUAACUCCGUGCCAGCAGCCGCGGUAAUACGGAGGGUGCAAGCGUUAUCCGGAUUUACUGGGUUUAAAGGGUGCGUAGGUGGGUUGGUAAGUCAGUGGUGAAAUCUUCGAGCUUAACUCGGAAACUGCCAUUGAUACUAUCAAUCUUGAAUCAUCUAGAGGUAAGCGGAAUAUGUCAUGUAGCGGUGAAAUGCUUAGAUAUGACAUAGAACACCAAAUUGCGAAGGCAGCUUACUAUGGAUGCAUUGACACUGAGGCACGAAAAGCGUGGGGAUCAAACAGGAUUAGAUACCCUGGUAGUCCACGCCCUAAACGAUGGAUACUCGACAUUUGUGAUAUACAAUAAAGUGUCUGAGCGAAAAGCAUUAAGUAUCCCACCUGGGAAGUACGACCGCAAGGUUGAAACUUAAAGGAAAUUGACGG